rnacentral:rRNA from 1 species
GACGAACGCUGGCGGCGUGCCUAAUACAUGCAAGUAGAACGCACAGUUUAUACCGUAGCUUGCUACACCAUAGACUGUGAGUUGCGAACGGGUGAGUAACGCGUAGGUAACCUGCCUGGUAGCGGGGGAUAACUAUUGGAAACGAUAGCUAAUACCGCAUAAUAUUAAUUAUUGCAUGAUAAUUAAUUGAAAGGUGCAAUUGCACCACUACCAGAUGGACCUGCGUUGUAUUAGCUAGUAGGUGAGGUAACGGCUCACCUAGGCGACGAUACAUAGCCGACCGGAGAGGGUGAUCGGCCACACUGGGACUGAGACACGGCCCAGACUCCUACGGGAGGCAGCAGGAGGGAAACUUCGGCAAUGGACGAAAGUCUGACCGAGGAACGCCGCGGGAGGGAAGAAGGGUUUCGGAUCGUAAAGCUCUGUUGUAAGAGAAGAAAGGGUGUGAGAGUGGAAAGUUCACACUGUGACGGUAUCUUACCAGAAAGGGACGGCUAACUACGUG